rnacentral:lncRNA from 1 species
UUGACCUCUCAGGUGUCUGGUAAACUGGGCAUUCAAAAGCAUAGAGUUCUGAAUCUGUCUGGUUGGAAGCAUUUGGUGUUUUGGUAGAAAUCUUUAAAAAAAAAAAAAAUCCAGUAGUCAAAUUGCAUAGUUCAAGUGAAUCAGUAGCUCACAUUUUCUGUAUGCUAGGCUUGAGGGAUUUGUUAUGAAUUAGAUACAUUUAAGGUUAAAUGGUUAAUGUAACAGCAUGUGGAAAUUAUACCUGGAGAAUUUAAAGAGUAUUAUGGCUUUAUAGUACAUAUUAUUGAGAACAUGGGAUGUAAGUAUAGCAUCUACUUUAGAUUUUAGUAAUAUUUUGGGAGAUUUAAAAUCUUUGUUGUCUGAGUAUAUUAUCACAUCUCCCUUGCAAAAUUGUAGGGAAUGGGAAUAAGAGUGGUUUGUAUAUUACUGAAGCAACGCUCAGAGGUUUAGGACUUCAGGAUAAUAGCAGGGUGAUUACCUUUGUUGGCAAAAAGUAUAUGUCGGGAAAAUCACAGCACAUCUCCAGAGGCAGCGAGUCUUCCAGUAUUUUCUGUUCACGAUUCCAUCUUGCCCCCUCGAUGAAUAAACCAAAAAUGUAAACUCCAGUGUGAGAGGAAGCUGAGCCCUAAGAUGGAAGAGAGGUGGUGUCAGGGAUCCCCAGGAGAAGCAGCGACCAACUGGAGGCUCCGUCCGGAAUUGAGCCGACCGAUCCAGAGGGGCUCAUCCUGCCUAAGGCAUGUUGCCCCAAGUUCUAAGCAUGAAGACAAAGACCUUCAAACACAAUAAAUAUGCAA